rnacentral:rRNA from 1 species
CCUACGGGUGGCAGCAGUGAGGAAUAUUGGUCAAUGGCCGGAAGGCUGAACCAGCCAUGCCGCGUGAAGGUCAGUGCCCUAUGGGCGUUAAACUUCUUUUGUGCGGGAGCAAUAAUGGUCACGUGUGGCCAGACGAGAGUACCGUACGCAUAAGCAUCGGCUAACUCCGUGCCAGCAGCCGCGGUAAUACGGGGGAUGCAAGCGUUAUCCGGAUUUAUUGGGUUUAAAGGGUGCGUAGGCUGUGAGGUAAGUCAGCGGUGAAAUGCCCCCACUCAACGGGGUGAAGUGCCAUUGAUACUGCCUGGCUGGAAUGCGGAUGCCGUGGGAGGAAUGUGUGGUGUAGCGGUGAAAUGCAUAGAUAUCACACAGAACACCGAUUGCGAAGGCAUCUCACGAAUCCGCGAUUGACGCUGAUGCACGAAAGCGUGGGUAUCAAACAGGAUUAGAUACCCUGGUAGUC